UAGAAUACACUGAAUGUCAGGCCUUACACGGUGGUGUAGUGACAUUGGAGGCAGAGCAGAGAGACAGAGUGGUGAGGCCAUGAGCUGUAAUGGUAUCUUCUGCAGAGCAGAGGGGUAGGGGAUGUCCUCAGUGGAACCACGCAGCGGAGUAAUGACCUCAGCUGAGUAAGGAAGCAGAGCAACCAAAGUGGAGCAGGGAGGGUGGGAGAUGAUUUUACCUAGGUUGUGAGCCCCCUCCUCAAAGAAUUUCCUGAGGGGGCACCUGGCAUUGAGCCAUUUGAGUGGCUCUGACCCAACUUCCCUUCCCCAGUAGUUCCCACAUCAGGCAAUUUUUCUCCCCUCUACAAAGGUAUGACAAAGAGUGGCCUCAAAGUCUGGGUUUAAGCAUCCGGCCUGGCAAGUGCAGGCAAUCCCAGUUAAUCAGCCUGGAGUGUUCUGGGUAACUGAGUUCCCCCACACGGCAACUCUUGCGGUGCACUGCUGCUGUCUUCUGCUGACUGUGCGGGGUGUAGCACAGCCUCUUACACCUCACUUGUGCCUUAAUACGUCUUAAAAUGCUACAAGCAACAUAUGGAGAAAUGAAGCAUUUGUUUUAAUCCUAUGUGCCAUGAUAUGGCAAUGACAAUUCCAUGGAUGCAGCAUUUUCUUUUAGUGAAACACAACACAAGUUUUAAUGCAUUAAAAAGCCCUUUUUGCUGGAAAGAAACAGAAUGGUAAUGGGUAGCUGAUUGGCCUACAGUGAGUGACACAUCAUGUGUAAGUGAGUUCUUAAAAGAGCCGGACACUGCCAGUACCAGCAGUGUGAUCCUGACUCCAGGACAGGAGUCAAAAUGGGAAAGGCACAGCUGCACAAUAGCAUUCCAAAUAGUGAGACCCCUUGCUCACAGAAACAGCACACAGGCCAGUAUACUAUUUCCCAAAGCACCAGCUCAGCCUAAAACGUCUCUUUACGUAAGUGCCUGAUGAAUGUGAAGGUGUCAGGGUUGGACUAAAGUCGGAACAAACUGAACCAGUGGACAGAGAGUAUCACAGCGCGUACUCUCAUUUAAAAAAAAAAAAAACAGACAUGGAAAAGCAUUAAGUAUUAAGUACAUUGGUAGUUGGGCUAUAAUGCAGAAGAGUGACACGGCACUACACACAGCCAGCUGCUAUUCCUGGGACAACACCACCGAUGGACUCUGCAUGGUCAGAUGGGAGAACUAUGCAAUAAUACAUUUUAUUUGUCGCCGCCUUUCAUAACACUCAAGGAUACCUUAUAAGAAAGACAACAUACAAAUAUCACAAAAAUCACCGCAAGCGGUGAUUAUCGGGAACCAAGCACAAACUGCUUGUGUACAGUUAUACGAUUGACCAUGUCUCUUUUCAAAUAUAAUACAAGUCUUUAAGUGUCUCUACAUGGAAGUGUUAUUCUAUGUACUAUAUUACAAUAUACAAAUAAUAUUGUCUUCAUUUUAGUUGGACAGCAAUGCAUUCAGUCAUGUCUAGCAACUUAACAAAUGUUUUCAGUAUUUAGGAUAUAUAAAAAUGAAGGUAUUUUGAAGAUCACAGAUUUCUUUUGCAAACGGAUUAGGCUUAGAUGGUUUUAGACUUUAUUGCACUAGACGGGAGAGUAGUGCGUAGUGUAAGUGCAUAGUGUAAGUGUACAGUACUUCAUUUAGGACACUACUUUAAUAUUUACUCUCCGAAGCGUGUUUUCAGUACAGAAGUAAUGUAAUGAGUAAACGCACCGUGCAGACCAACUAAUCGAAAAUGAGAUUCGUUUCCAACGAUUUUCAGAAUCGAUUAUUAUCGAUUAGUUGUUGCAGCUCUAAAUAUAAUAUAACAUUUGCAAUCACUGUGAUGGAGAAAAUAUGGAAUGCAAAGUGCAAUCUUCUUUAUUGAUCUAUUUGUUUAUAUCCCUAUUCCAUUCAUUUCUACGGUUUAGUCAUCUGGUGGGCGUGGUUGAGUGCGCAGGUGCGUCAUUCAAACCGAGCGAGACAGCUCCUUUCAGGUAAAUUGAGGUACUUCUGUUGGUUGUAUGAAUAAAACACAUCACAAUUCUGAUUAGCAUAGAUUUAUUACAGGUGCAUUAUUAUUAUUAUUAUUAUUAGUAGUAGUAGUAGUAGUAGUAAUUAUUAUUCCUCUAGUUCGCUCUUUCAGUGUAGCGUUUGUACUUCUUACACGUUAAACAAUCUCCAUUAUUGCGUUUUAAACAUGGAUAUGACAGGAUGGAUUCCUCAGCUUGCCUUAAAUUGACUCUUUAUGACAAUGGGAAACAAUUCUCUUACAGUUCCUGUGAAUAAAAGCUAAAGAGUCUCAAACUCUUAUUUAUGAGGCUCAUCAGGGCUCAUACAAGCUUUUAGUCAUUUAAAGUAAUAUCACUUUACUCUUAACUGUUCUUUGUGAGUGGUUUUUAAGAUUGUUUUCACUGUAAACUGUCCUGUGGUAUCUGUCAUUGGUCUCUUUUGUAUUACUGGGUGUCUUGUUUACAUCCAGAACUGUGUGUGUAAGUGUGCACUGUAGGAUCGGUAUAAACCAGCAACAAAUUCCUUGUAUACUCCAGCAUACUUGGCCAGUAAAACUUAUUCUGAUAACUUGGGUUUGGACCUGCAUGAAGUUGCCACCCUCACCCAAUGCAAAAUGUCGGCAAAAUUGUCUCAAUCGUUUGUGCUCCGUUUGUGCCAUAAAAAUUUUCGUUUGUGCUGCUUCGAUUUUGAAGAUAUUUAAAAGAAUAUUCAUAGGUCAUUCUGAGGUCUCUCAGACUCCCCACAUGCUCCUAAUUCACCACAAAUAUUCUCAAUCGUUUGUACUGCUUUUGUUUUUAAAAUAUUAGACAUUGACUUAUAUGCACAAAUCUCCUUGGUGUGAGCACACUUUGAGUCGAAGUGCCGAAGACUUUUUCAAGACAAAUCAUAUCAUCAUUUGUUCAAUAAACAAUUCUCUUUACUUCAUUCACUGGUCUCUCAAUAUUGAACUUUUCAUUUAUUUACAAGGAGAAUCAUGUUACACUUCACUCCCACCACUAGGUGUCAGGGACACUUCUGUUCUCGAUGCUCUAGUGGAAAUUAGUGUUAGUAUAGGGAAAGUCGAUAUAGUUACUAAAUCAAAAUUCUGGCCAGUGUAAGUACAAUGUUUUAACACUGUCAGUUACAAUAAUAUUAGUUAACUUCAAUCAUAAUGGUAAAACAUUCAAGAGAGCUAAGAUUGUCAAUGUUUAUUGAACAGAAAUCUCACUGCUAAUACUAAUAUGGCUAAUGUAGCUAUGAAAUGCUAAUUACCGCUGCACAUGGUACCCAUGUUAGUUUUUUUAAUACAUUGUGCAUCUAAGGGUCCACAUUACCAUAUUGGUCCUAAUAUAAGAUAUAAUAUCCUUAUACAUUAUUACUAGAUUAUAUUUUCCUUGUAUUUUGGCAAAUACAGUCAUACAUGAAAACAUGUUUAUACUGUACAUGACAUUUUUUGCAUCAGGAUUAUUUCAGUGGGUAAUUAUGUUUUGCUUAUGCCAGAUGCCCAAGAAACCAGCAGUGGACAGGGAUUCCAUUUUCACAGUCCUCCCUUCAUCAAAAGAGGCCAUAGUCCAAAAUGUCAACAUAGCUACUCCUAAUCAGAGCAUCUGGACAGAGCUUAGUGAGCAGCUAGAAAACAAGAUCACUGCAAAGGCUCUAUAUACUUUUGUUAAAUUGAACAGACAACAUCUGGACUGCUUUAGGGUUUAUUUAUGAAAGUGAUCAUGAAACAAGUGGCAGUAAUGAUGACACUCAUUUUGAGCCAGGUCCCUGCACAUUUGUCUUUAAAAGAGCCAAGGUCUAUCCAUCAGCCGCAGAUAAAUUCAUAGAAAUCAGAGGCAACUGUGAGGAAUGUCAUGGCCACAUUCACAUAAAAUGUGACGGAGAGCCUGAAAUGAACAGCCCAGUGGUGCUCAAGUGCUGAAUUAAAAACACUGACUCCCUGCACACUGGCUGUUCGAAGCAUGCGAUGUCUGGUAACUUGCCUGUGCAGAUAGUCAAAGAACUGUGUGAGGAAAGAAUGGAACCCUGUUUAUGACAACGUGGCAAUUUUUCGGAGCACACUUGGUAGUGUGCGGAAGCAUCGGCACGUCCCUAAUAGCAAGUGCACACAGCUGAAACAUUCUGUACUAUUUUAACAUGUUAUUUAUUCCACCGUGGCAGUUGUUCAGAGCACAUUUGUAAGCAUGCGAAAGUAUCGGAACGUCCUUAAAUAGCAAGAGAACACAGCUGAAACAUUGUAAUUUAAGUAUGUAAUUUAUUCCACCAUAGUAGCUAUUAAGGGCACAUUUUUAAGCGUUUAAACGUCCCUAAUAGGCAGAGCAUGCCGUUUUUUUGCUGCAGGAUGGUUCCUACUAGGUCUGCUAAUGGGACCGCCCUCCUGACUGGCUGCCUAUAAAGUCACCCGCUCUAGCGGUGCUGAGCAGCGAGAUGUCACAGAGAAGAGUGUGUCCAGUUUGUCGGCGUUUCUACACCAACGUGCAGGCUCAUCUCGCCCAGAUUCAUCAGCAGGGUCCAGAGGAACGCUGGCUUCACCUGGCGGCAGCGAGCGAGCGGGUGAUAUGCGGGUGCUCUGGACUGCCCGGUGUCUGCAUGCGGCAGGAAAGGUUUCCGCCGGCUAGACUGCCACCUGUUCCACCUUCACCAGCUCGCCGGGGACACGGUCAGGAAGCUACUGCUCAGCGCCAAAAUAAAGCUGCAACAACUGCAAGCUUUCGGUGAGACGAACAAAUCUAAAAGUUGCAAAUGUUCUGAACUGAUCGAAAAGUAGCAAAACUCUCCGCAGAAUUUGAGCGGCUGCAAGCGCUAGUAGCCCGGAAAGAGUAGUGGCUCUGUGGAGCCAAUGUUAAGUGUACACGGCUUGGCUGACAAGUCUCAGAGAUGUCCCCAAAGCCGCGGCCAACGGCAAGCAGGAGAGGAGACACGUCGAGCGCUUCCUUCACUUUAUGUGGGCCAACACAGACAGUCCCCUGGCAGCUGCUGGCUCAUUACCCAAAAACACUUAAAAUUUAACAUAGAAGCCAAUACUCACAUCAACCUCUGAACCCAGUUGGAGAUAGAAAAAAAGACACCAGCCGUGAGUGAGAAGAAGCAAGGGUCCAGCUUUAUUGUUCCGUUCCACCACACGAGAUCCACACCAAUGAGAAUUCUCAGAAGUGAUCUGAUACCCUGAGCUUAAGCUCCAGUAUUUAUACUGUAAUUACACAGUAAAUAACCCAUAUGUUUCAAGAAGACUAUGAUCUCACUACCAAUAGGGUUAAAAAAGAGCUAUUCAACUUACCAUUAGCUCAAAAAACAGGGCUUUUCAACUUACAAAUAUAAUCAAAACCAGUAGCUUGACUCAGCUACCCUUAUAAAUGGCUCCUCAUGGUUUUCUCUUAAAAUUAAGGCCUUCCUUGCGAGACAAGAAUCUUCACCAUCUGAAUUAUGAGUGCCCAUCGUCAUUCCUUCUUCUCCCCUUUACUGGAUCUGGAUCUGGACACUCAUUAUCAGCUUGCGCAUCUAACUGCUGAUAUCAUGGUGCUACUUAACUAUCUUCGCAGCACCCCCUCUGGAAAUGGAAAUGCGGG